rnacentral:lncRNA from 1 species
CUGGCGCUCCGCCUUCCCCGAAGCCUAUAAAAGCACAGAUCCCCGCCUCGGCAGCCACGGGACACCUGCAUCUGCCAACAAGACUGGAAGCAGGUGAGGCACACAGAGGGGGAGGCCCGCAGCUGCGUGGGAGGAGGGGUGGUCUGAGGGACAUGGGAUGCCGGGAAUUAGGCUGGUUUGCAGGUCGGCGCAUGGACAUUUUCCCAGGAACGGACAGAGACGGCGAAGUUUGACGGUCUGGAAAGCAGAGAUCAGCGGGGCUGACUGCUUGGGAGCACCAAGUAUCCGGACAGCGCCUCUCGGGGGUUCCAAGGAGAGAACCGCGAUCUGUUUCAGCACCGGGGCUCAGGACAGUUCCCAGAGGGCUCCGUUUCGGCGCCAGAACCCUGGACAGCUCCCCCAGACUUCAGUGAGGAACCUUGUGCCAAGCAUUGUACAUACAGCAUAUCAUGCCAUCUUCAACCCUAGGACAUGGGUGUUACUGUGCCCAGGUGACAUUUGGGGAACCCAAGGCCCCGAAAAAGGCAGAAAAAUAACCCACGCAGGGACUCUCAGCCCACAAGUGAAGCUGUAA